UGGGGGAAUAUUGCACAAUGGGGGGAAACCCUGAUGCAGCGACGCCGCGUGAGCGAAGAAGUAUCUCGGUAUGUAAAGCUCUAUCAGCAGGGAAGAUGAUGACGGUACCUGACUAAGAAGCCCCGGCUAACUACGUGCCAGCAGCCGCGGUAAUACGUAGGGGGCAAGCGUUAUCCGGAUUUACUGGGGUGUAAAGGGAGCGUAGACGGCGUAUCAAGUCUGAUGUGAAAGGCCAUGGGCUCAACCCGUGGACUGCAUUGGAAACUGGUAUGCUUGAGUGCCGGAGGGGUAAGCGGAAUUCCUAGUGUAGCGGUGAAAUGCGUAGAUAUUAGGAGGAACACCAGUGGCGAAGGCGGCUUACUGGACGGUAACUGACGUUGAGGCUCGAAAGCGUGGGGAGCGAAACAGGAUUAGAUACCCU
rnacentral:rRNA from 1 species